CCUACGUGAGGCAGCAGUGAGGAAUAUUGGUCAAUGGACUAGAGUCUGAACCAGCCAAGUAGCGUUAAGGAUGACUGCCCUAUGGGUUGUAAACUUCUUUUAUAAAGGAAUAAAACGAGGCACGUGUGCCUUUUUGCAUGUACUUUAUGAAUAAGGAUCGGCUAAAUCCGUGCCAGCAGCCGCGGUAAUACGGAGGAUCCGAGCGUUAUCCGGAUUUAUUGGGUUUAAAGGGAGAGUAGAUGGGUUGUUAAGUCAGUUGUGAAAGUUUGCGGCUCAACCGUAAAAUUGCAAUUGAUACUGGCAGUCUUGAGCACAGUUGAGGUAAGCGGAAUUCGUGGUGUAGCGGUGAAAUGCUUAGAUAUCACGAAGAACCACGAGUGCGAAGGCAGCUUACUAAACUGUGACUGACAUUGAUGCUCGAAAGUGUGGGUAUCAAACAGGAUUAGAUACCCGAGUAGUC
rnacentral:rRNA from 1 species